AGUGAACGCUGGCGGCAGGCCUAACACAUGCAAGUCGAACGGCAGCACAGUAAGAGCUUGCUCUUACGGGUGGCGAGUGGCGGACGAGUGAGGAAUGCAUCGGAAUCUACUUUUUCGUGGGGGAUAACGUAGGGAAACUUACGCUAAUACCGCAUACGACCUACGGGUGAAAGCAGGGGAUCUUCGGACCUUGCGCGAUUGAAUGAGCCGAUGUCGGAUUAGCUAGUUGGCGGGGUAAAGGCCCACCAAGGCGACGAUCCGUAGCUGGUCUGAGAGGAUGAUCAGCCACACUGGAACUGAGACACGGUCCAGACUCCUACGGGAGGCAGCAGUGGGGAAUAUUGGACAAUGGGCGCAAGCCUGAUCCAGCCAUACCGCGUGGGUGAAGAAGGCCUUCGGGUUGUAAAGCCCUUUUGUUGGGAAAGAAAAGCAGCAGGUUAAUACCCCGCUGUUCUGACGGUACCCAAAGAAUAAGCACCGGCUAACUUCGUG
rnacentral:rRNA from 1 species